CCAAACAGGUAAAAAUAAAAAGAUAGGUUGCAAAACAUAGCAACUGCAGUUUUUGUAGCUACCAGUGAAUCACAUUACAUGGCGAUAGUUUUACUUCAAUUUAUGCAUGCUUAAGCACACAUAAAAGCAGGAUAGAAUUGACUGGUGACUCAGACCUCUUUCUUCUACAAAGUUUGGAAGGUUUAGUUCUCUGCUCAUCCCAGCAGAGUUCCCUGAAAAGAAAGGCUGCUUUGGCAAAUAAAGAACACUUGAACAGAGCAGGUGUGGGGUGAGCUAUCUGGCCUAGGCAUAGAGAAGCUACGAUAGCAUGGUGGUGUACAGCAGGGAAAGGGCUGUGGGCAGCCUGGGAGAGGGGUGGCACCUUCUCUAGCCUACCUGUAGCUUUCACCAUACUAUUUUGGCCCUCCUGUCCCAGCGGUAGGCUAUGAAGUGUUUCUUUCAGCCACCGAGGAGGCCAUCAAGCCCAUCCUUACCUAAUCUGGAACUGAAACUUCUCGAGCUAUUACUGUGUUUCUUACAUCAGGUGAGACCAAUGGCCCGUCUCCCAGAGGGUGAACUUGAUAAGAAACAGCAGCAAUGUUACAGAGCAGCCUUUACCUGUGCCCUUAGCUGUAAAUUUCAGCUGGUGCCAGAUUAAAAGGUGAUGAACUAGAUCAAAAUAUUCAUCUCCUAUGAAAUCCUUGAGAGUUUUUCAUUAAACAAAACUGAAAUAAGAUUAAGGCAUCAAAUAACUUCUUUUGCUUUUAAGUUAUUCAAGUUUAAUAAGAAAACUAUUCUCUGGUUUGGAAGUGACCCAGACAGGUAUUUCCUCUCCAGUUUUCUCUUUCAUUCUCAGGAAAAACGGGAAAGCUUUAGAGAAACUUCCACUGAGAGAAAAAUUUAUUCCUGUGAGAUGUCUGGCUUGCAGAUUGACAAGUACCAAGUGCUUCAAAGGAGAACAGAUUUGAAAACAAAUAAACAAAAUACCUAGAAUGUAAAAGAGUUGAAUUUAGGUGUUUUAAAAAAAAAAAAACCCAAACCAAAACAAGAAACCCCAAACCACAUAAACCAAAACACUUCCC